CUUAUAAACCGAGAAAAUGUAAUUUCAAAAUGGAUUAGCCUCCGUUUGGUUCGGGGUUAAGAAAAAAUAGCUAUUUCAGGAAUAGAGUUAAGUUCAGGGUUAAAGUGGAGUUAAAGUUUUUUUGUGUUUGGUUGGAGGUUGGAGUUAGUCUAGAAUAAUGAAAAAUAGUGUUUGGUUGGAGUAGAUGGAAUAAGAAGAUAAUGAUUGAUAAAGAAGGAUAAACUAUACAUUUUAACUAGAGAAAAAUGUUAGUUAUACAACUAAAAAACAGAGUGCACAUCUUACACUCCAAAAUUUUUAAAUUUAAUUUUUUACAAAACUUUUUUAAUAUAAAAAAGGAUAAACUUCAAAUAUCCCUCUCGUGGUUUCACACUUUCUACUUUACUACCCUAUGGUUUAAAGUGUAUCAAGUUAGUCCAUGUGGUUUCGUACUUUUUUUACUUUAGUAUUAUGUGAUUUAAAUUAUAUUAAGUUAGUACCCUGUGGUUUCAUUUUUCUCUUUCUAUAAUUCAUUUCACUAAUUUUUUUUGUUAAAUCAGUGACAAAGUUAAAAUUAAAGGAUACUAAAAUAAAUAUUCGAUAAACCUAGAUAGAGUAUGAAGUUUUUUGUAUAUAAUUUAAUGAAAUAUUAACGGAGGAAAAAAAAAUCAAUGACAAAGUUAAAGUAAAGGAUACUAAAGUAAAUAUUCGAUAAACCUAGAUAGGAUAUCUGAAGUUUUUUGUAUAUAAUUUAACGAGAUAUUAACAGAUGAGCCGACAAAAAGAUAAAAAUAAAACCACAGGGUACUAAAUUGAUACACUUUAAACCACAAGAUACUAAAGUGAGAAAGUGCGAACCACAGGGUACUAAAUUGAUACACUUUAACCCAGAGUGUACUAAAGUAAAAAACUGCGAAACUAGAGGGGUGGUAUUUGAAAAUUUUCCUAUAAAAAAAUGAUCAAAUUGGUAUGAAAUAUUAUCCUUUGGAUAAAAAGAUAUAAAAUUUACACUCUAUUAACAUC
rnacentral:lncRNA from 1 species